AUAUCAGUCAUGCAUAGCAUAUCAAUAAGCGGAGGAAAAGAAACUAACAAGGAUUCCCCUAGUAACUGCGAGUGAAGCGGGAAGAGCUCAAAUUUGAAAUCUUAAAAGGUUUUCCUUUUACGAAUUGUAGUUUAAAGAAGUGUUUUCUGUUGAAAUUUUAGUAAAAGUUCUUUGGGAAUAGGACAUCAUAGAGGGUGAGAAUCCCGUAUUUGACUAGAAUUUUUCAACUUUGUGAUACACUUUCAAAGAGUCGGAUUGUUUGGGAAUGCAGUCCAAAAUGGGUGGUAAAUUUCAUCUAAAGCUAAAUAUUGGCGAGAGACCGAUAGCGAACAAGUACCGUGAGGGAAAGAUGAAAAGAACUUUGAAAAGAGAGUUAGAUAGUACGUGAAAUUGUCAAAAGGGAAGCGUUUGGCACCAGUGUUGUUUUUCUAAAAAUCAAUUUAAAAUUUGCUUAUGCUAAGUUUUUUAGACUUAAUCGGCUAAUAAUUUAGUUUUUUGUAAUUUUUGAAUGCACUUUUUAGUUAACAAGUCAACAUCAAUUUCUUUUGUUGUAAAAAAAUAAGAGGAAGGUGGCUUGGGAAUUCUUUUCAAGUGUUUAUAGCCUUUUAUUUCUGCAAUAGGAGGGAUUGAGGUCUGCAGCAUAGAUCCUUCGGGGCUAGAUGCAUUUUCGCUAAGAGUCAGUAUUAUAUAAACAACUUGUUGAUUAUGUAGUAUGUUGAUUUUUACUCGGGAGUGUUAUUUUACCUACGCUUAGGAUGUUGACGCAUGAGAUAUACGC
rnacentral:rRNA from 1 species